rnacentral:lncRNA from 1 species
UAACUUUUAUCGUGUUGGACAAUUUCAUCCACAUUAUCUAUCUCUUAAAUUCAAAAUUUUCAUUGUUUCUAAUAUAAACCAAACAACAAUUUCUUUUAAAUUCAUUUUUUCACACUUCAUAUAAUAUGGCCAAACUGCAUGUAAUUCACAUACAAUAACUAUACUAACCUUUAAGCUCGAUAUAAGGAGAUCCACAAAGGUUAUUAGUUCACCCGAAAUAUCUG